rnacentral:rRNA from 1 species
UACAGAGGGUGCGAGCGUUGUUCGGAAUUAUUGGGCGUAAAGAGCUCGUAGGCGGUCUGUCGCGUCGGAUGUGAAAACCCAGGGCUCAACCCUGGGCCUGCAUUCGAUACGGGCAGACUAGAGUUCGGUAGGGGAGACUGGAAUUCCUGGUGUAGCGGUGAAAUGCGCAGAUAUCAGGAGGAACACCGGUGGCGAAGGCGGGUCUCUGGGCCGAAACUGACGCUGAGGAGCGAAAGCGUGGGGAGCAAACAGG